rnacentral:rRNA from 1 species
AUUGAACGCUGGCGGCAGGCCUAACACAUGCAAGUCGAGCGAGAAAGGUCUUCGGACUGAGUACAGCGGCGGACGGGUGAGUAAUGCGCAGGAAUCUACCUGGUAGUGGGGGAUAACUCGGGGAAACUCGAACUAAUACCGCAUACGCCCUACGGGGGAAAGCGGGGGACCUUCGGGCCUCGCGCUAUCAGAUGAGCCUGCGUAGGAUUAGCUUGUUGGUGAGGUAAAGGCUCACCAAGGCGACGAUCCUUAGCUGGUCUGAGAGGAUGAUCAGCCACACUGGAACUGAGACACGGUCCAGACUCCUACGGGAGGCAGCAGUGGGGAAUAUUGCGCAAUGGGCGAAAGCCUGACGCAGCCAUGCCGCGUGUGUGAAGAAGGCCCUUGGGUUGUAAAGCACUUUCAAUUGGGAAGAAAGGUUAGCGUGUUAAUAGUCACGUAGCUGUGACGUUACCUUUAGAAGAAGCACCGGCUAACUCCGUCGCCAGCAGCCGCGGUAAAG